AUACCCAUGGUGCGGACACGAUCUUCGGAGGUCUUUGAACCUAUCCCAUGCCUCAUUCAAACUCUCAUCCUCAUCUUGUAUGAAAUUAGAGAUCUUCCUCCUAGCCU
rfam:Beta vulgaris subsp. vulgaris chromosome 7, whole genome shotgun sequence.